GAUGAACGCUGGCGGCGUGCCUAAUACAUGCAAGUCGAGCGAACGGACGAGAAGCUUGCUUCUCUGAUGUUAGCGGCGGACGGGUGAGUAACACGUGGAUAACCUACCUAUAAGACUGGGAUAACUUCGGGAAACCGGAGCUAAUACCGGAUGAUAUUUUGAACCGCAUGGUUCAAAAGUGAAAGACGGUCUUGCUGUCACUUAUAGAUGGAUCCGCGCUGCAUUAGCUAGUUGGUAAGGUAACGGCUUACCAAGGCAACGAUGCAUAGCCGACCUGAGAGGGUGAUGGCCACACUGGAACUGAGACACGGUCCAGACUCCUACGGGAGGCAGCAGUAGGGAAUCUUCCGCAAUGGGCGAAAGCCUGACGGAGCAACGCCGCGUGAGUGAUGAAGGUCUUCGGAUCGUAAAACUCUGUUAUUAGGGAAGAACAUAUGUGUAAGUAACUGUGCACAUCUUGACGGUACCUAAUCAGAAAGCCACGGCUAACUACGUG
rnacentral:rRNA from 1 species